UACGGAGGGUGCAAGCGUUAUCCGGAUUCACUGGGCGUAAAGGGUGCGUAGGCCGCACGGUAAGUCAGAGGUGAAAUCCCGGAGCUCAACUCCGGAAUGGCCUCCGAUACUGCCGUGCUCGAGGACUGGAGAGGAGUCUGGAAUUCACAGUGGAGCAGUGAAAUGCGUAGAUAUUGUGAGGAACACUAGUGGCGAAGGCGAGACUCUGGACAGUUCCUGACGCUGAGGCACGAAGGCCAGGGGAGCAAACGGG
rnacentral:rRNA from 1 species